AGAAUUAAUUAGGAAGAGUCCUAGUUGAUUGAGACUCUUGAGUUGAUCUAAUCUGAUCGGAUUAGGAUUACGUCAAGAGUCUGUGUCCACUACUGGCUAGGUUUAGAACCCAAUGGAUCACAUACUUUAGAAUUUGGUUUUGAUUUGAUUUAAUUAGGAUUUGAUAUAAAUUUUAAUUUUAUGGCUGACACAUUGUAAUAAAUCUAAGCACUCUGAUAGGGACGUCUAAGG
rnacentral:lncRNA from 1 species